UCUGUCAUUUGCCUAAUUUUAAAGCCCAAAGGCCUAAUGAGAAACAUUUCCCAACAAUGAAGCCUUUCAUUUAGACCCACUCAAAAGGCUUAUAUAACCCUUACAUCAAACCCUACAUCCACUCUGUUCGUCACUACUCAAAACCCUAACGCCUCCGCCACGCCAGUUUGUUAGUGAGAUCUCUGAGCAAAAAUGGCGAAGUCGAAGAACCAUACUGCAC